AUACGGAGGAUCCGAGCGUUAUCCGGAUUUAUUGGGUUUAAAGGGUGCGCAGGCGGCCAUUUAAGUCAGCGGUUAAAUCGUAGGGCUCAACCCCAUUCUGCCGUUGAUACUGGGUGGCUUGAUUGCGGUCGAGGUUGGCGGAAUUCGUUGUGUAGCGGUGAAAUGCAUAGAUAUGACGAAGAACACCGAUUGCGUAGGCAGCUGACCAGACCGCAAAUGACGCUCAUGCACGAAAGUGCGGGGAUCGAACAGGAUUAGAUACCCUGGUAGUCCGCACAGUAAACGAUGAAUACUUGUUUUCGGCGAUAUAAUGUCGGAGGCAAAGCGAAAGCGAUAAGUAUUCCACCUGGGGAGUACGCCGGCAACGGUGAAACUCAAAGGAAUUGGCGGGG
rnacentral:rRNA from 1 species